ACCAGGUGGGGUGGCGCACACCUGUAAUCCCAGCCACUCGGGAGGCUGAGGCAGAAGGAUUAUGAGUUCAAAGCCAGACUCAGCAAAAAGCAAGGUGCUAAGCAACUCAAUGAGCCUCUGUCUGUA
rnacentral:sRNA from 1 species